rfam:Cavia porcellus supercont2_2 genomic scaffold, whole genome shotgun sequence.
GGGGAUUUAGCUCAGUGGCAUAAGCGCCUGCCUGGGAAGCAUGAGGUCAUGAGUUCAAUCCCCA